UGCUUCUCUUGAGAGCGGCGGACGGGUGAGUAAUGCCUAGGAAUCUGCCUGGUAGUGGGGGAUAACGUUCGGAAACGGACGCUAAUACCGCAUACGUCCUACGGGAGAAAGCAGGGGACCUUCGGGCCUUGCGCUAUCAGAUGAGCCUAGGUCGGAUUAGCUAGUUGGUGGGGUAAUGGCUCACCAAGGCGACGAUCCGUAACUGGUCUGAGAGGAUGAUCAGUCACACUGGAACUGAGACACGGUCCAGACUCCUACGGGAGGCAGCAGUGGGGAAUAUUGGACAAUGGGCGAAAGCCUGAUCCAGCCAUGCCGCGUGUGUGAAGAAGGUCUUCGGAUUGUAAAGCACUUUAAGUUGGGAGGAAGGGCCAUUACCUAAUACGUGAUGGUUUUGACGUUACCGACAGAAUAAGCACCGGCUAACUCUGUGCCAGCAGCCGCGGUAAUACAGAGGGUGCAAGCGUUAAUCGGAAUUACUGGGCGUAAAGCGCGCGUAG
rnacentral:rRNA from 1 species